rnacentral:rRNA from 1 species
ACUAGGAAUUUUGCGCAAUGGGGGCAACCCUGACGCAGCGACACAGCGUGGAGGAGGAAGGUCUUCGGAUUGUAAACUCCUUUUAUAUGGGAAGAAUAGAUGACUGUACCAUAUGAAUAAGCACCUGCUAACUACGUGCCAGAAGCAUCGGUGAUGCGUAGGGUGCGAACGUUAUCCGGAUUUAUUGGGCGUAAAGAGAUGCGUAGGCGUUUCAGUUAGUCUUUCGUUAAAAGUCACGGCUUAACCGUGAAGAUGCGUUGGAUACUGCUGAAAUUGAGACAUGAAGGGGUGAACGGAACUCCAAGUGGAGCGGUGAAAUGAGUUGAUAGUUGGAAGAACAUCAGAGGCGAAGGCGGUUCACUGGUCAUUGUCUGACGCUAAGGCUCGAAAGCGUGGGUAGCAAAACGGAUUAGAAACCCCGGUAGUCC